CAGUAGCCGCGGUAAAACAGAGGGUGCGAGCGUUAAUCGGAUUUACUGGGCGUAAAGCGUGCGUAGGCGGCUUCUUAAGUCGGAUGUGAAAUCCCUGAGCUUAACUUAGGAAUUGCAUUCGAUACUGGGAAGCUAGAGUAUGGGAGAGGAUGGUAGAAUUCCAGGUGUAGCGGUGAAAUGCGUAGAGAUCUGGAGGAAUACCGAUGGCGAAGGCAGCCAUCUGGCCUAAUAUUGACGCUGAGGUACGAAAGCAUGGGGAGCAAACAGGAUUAGAUACCCGCGUAGUCCCUGUCUCUUAUAC
rnacentral:rRNA from 1 species